rnacentral:misc_RNA from 1 species
UCCGAGUUGACCCCGGCGGUCUCCCACGAGUCCCCGGCAUAACCCGCUGGCAACGUAGGACAAGGGUUGCGCUCGUUGCGGGACUUAACCCAACACCUCACGACACGAGCUGACGACAGCCAUGCACCACCUGCACACCAACCACAAGGGAAGACGUAUCUCUACGCCCAUCUGAUGCAUGUCAAGCCCAGGUAAGGUUCUUCGCGUUGCAUCGAAUUAAUCCACAUGCUCCGCCGCUUGUGCGGGCCCCCGUCAAUUCCUUUGAGUUUUAGCCUUGCGGCCGUACUCCCCAGGCGGGGCGCUUAAUGCGUUAGCUACGGCACGGACAACGUGGAAUGUCACCCACACCUAGCGCCCAACGUUUACAGCGUGGACUAC